rnacentral:rRNA from 1 species
GGGGAAUAUUGGACAAUGGGCGCAAGCCUGAUCCAGCCAUGCCGCGUGAGUGACGAAGGCCUUAGGGUUGUAAAGCUCUUUUGGCGGGGACGAUAAUGACGGUACCCGCAGAAUAAGCCCCGGCUAACUUCGUGCCAGCAGCCGCGGUAAUACGAAGGGGGCUAGCGUUGUUCGGAAUUACUGGGCGUAAAGCGCACGUAGGCGGAUUUGUUAGUCAGGGGUGAAAUCCCGGGGCUCAACCUCGGAACUGCCUUUGAUACUGCAAAUCUCGAGUCCGGAAGAGGUGAGUGGAAUUCCUAGUGUAGAGGUGAAAUUCGUAGAUAUUAGGAAGAACACCAGUGGCGAAGGCGGCUCACUGGUCCGGUACUGACGCUGAGGUGCGAAAGCGUGGGGAGCAAAC